UUUAAGUACUUAAACAACACACACGUACGGGUGCUUAUACGGAUUUGAGCUCAGAGCUUAAUCCACACGCCGCUCAGUUGUGGAUUGAAUACGAGUCAGAUGUACAGCUCCUCCAAUUCAUAGGUAUUUCGAUAGAAACUGUACACGAACAAAAUUAAAAGUUGACGUCGAAAAAAAUGGAGAAACAAGAGCCGGCGGAAGCGAGUUCAUUAUGGAGAUAUUUGCUAACAAGUGUUCGAUUGAACUGAUUAUAGUGUUAUAAUAUUAAUUGAAUUGGAAUAAAAAAGCAACAACUAAGCGUCCUGUCGGUUCUCACCAUUAGA